CUACGUGCCAGCAGCCGCGGUAAUACGGAAGGUUCGGGCGUUAUCCGGAUUUAUUGGGUUUAAAGGGAGCGUAGGCUGGAGAUUAAGUGUGUUGUGAAAUGUAGACGCUCAACGUCUGACUUGCAGCGCAUACUGGUUUCCUUGAGUACGCACAACGUUGGCGGAAUUCGUCGUGUAGCGGUGAAAUGCUUAGAUAUGACGAAGAACUCCGAUUGCGAAGGCAGCUGACGGGAGCGCAACUGACGCUGAAGCUCGAAGGUGCGGGUAUCGAACAGGAUUAGAUACCCUGGUAGUCCGCACAGUAAACGAUGGAUGCCCGCUGUUGGUACCUGGUAUCAGCGGCUAAGCGAAAGCAUUAAGCAUCCCACCUGGGGAGUACGCCGGCAACGGUGAAACUCAAAGGAAUUGACGGGGGCCCGCACAAGCGGAGGAACAUGUGGUUUAAUUCGAUGAUACGCGAGGAACCUUACCCGGGCUUGAA
rnacentral:rRNA from 1 species